rnacentral:rRNA from 1 species
AAUAGAUACCCAGGUAGUCCAUGCCGUAAACGUUGGGAACUAGAUGUAGGGCCUGUUCCACGGGUUCUGUGUCGUAGCUAACGCAUUAAGUUCCCCGCCUGGGGAGUACGGCCGCAAGGCUAAAACUCAAAGGAAUUGACGGGGGCCCGCACAAGCGGCGGAGGCAUGCGGAUUAAUUCGAUGCAACGCGAAGAACCUUACCAAGGCUUGACAUGUAGAAGAACACCGCAGAGAUGCGGGACUCUUUGGACACUUCUAUACAGGUGGUGCAUGGUUGUCGUCAGCUCGUGUCGUGAGAUGUUCGGUUAAGUCCGGCAACGAGCGCAACCCUCGUCCUAUGUUGCCAGCACGUUAUGGUGGGAACUCAUGGGAUACUGCCGUGGUCAACACGGAGGAAGGUGGGGAUGACGUCAAAUCAUCAUGCCCCUUAUGUCUUGGGCUUCACGCAUGCUACAAUGGCCGGUACAAAGGGCUGCGAUACCGUAAGGUGGAGCGAAUCCCAAAAAGCCGGUCUCAGUUCGGAUUGGGU